UCCAGUCAGGGGACAGUGUCUAUAACUAGUGUGUGUCUCCAGGUUCCAGUCAGGGGACAGUCUCUAUAACUAGUGUGUGUCUCCAGGUUCCAGUCAGGGGACAGUGUCUAUAACUAGUGUGUGUCUCCAGGUUCCAGUAGGGGCCUUUGUCUAUAACUAGUGUGUGUCUCCAGGUUCCAGUCAGGGGACAGUGUCUAUAACUAGUGUGUGUCUCCAGGUUCCAGUCAGGGGACAGUGUCUAUAACUAGUGUGUGUCUCCAGGU